GACGAACGCUGGCGGCGUGCUUAACACAUGCAAGUCGAGCGGAAAGGCCCCUUCGGGGGUACUCGAGCGGCGAACGGGUGAGUAACACGUGGGUAAUCAACCCCUGACAUCGGGAUACCCCGGGGAAACCCGGAUCAAUACCGGAUAAGGUGCGGAGGCGCAGGCCGCCGUACCAAAGGUAGCUUCGGCUUCCGGUCAGGGACGAGCCCGCGGCCCAUUAGCUUGUUGGUGGGGUAACGGCCCACCAAGGCGACGAUGGGUAGCUGGUCUGAGAGGAAGAUCAGCCACACUGGGACUGAGACACGGCCCAGACUCCUACGGGAGGCAGCAGUGGGGAAUCUUGCGCCAUGGGCGGAAGCCUGACGCAGCAACGCCGCGUGCGGGAAGAAGGCCCUAGGGUCGUAAACCGCUUUCAGGGGGGACGAAGCUUCCGGGGUUAAUAGCCUACGGGGUGACGGUACUCCCAGAAGAAGGUCCGGCUAACUACGUGCCAGCAGCCGCAGUAA
rnacentral:rRNA from 1 species